CCUCCAUUACGUAGGCUUCCAGGAAAGCCGAAAAAAGUCGAAGAAGAGAAAAAGAUGAAGAUACACCGUCAAAUACAAGAAGACGACUCUCCACAAUCAAAUGUUCUAACUGUGGAGAUCUAGGACACAAUAAAAGGAGGUGCCAAAGAGCUCCAGUCAAAGCCAAAAAAAGAAGACAAGGAACUUCAGGGAGUAGAACACAACCUUCUGCUAAAAAAGAAACUCAACAUGGUUCAGCACAAGCAAGGGCAAAGUCACAGAUGCAAGCUAAACAAUUGAAGAGGAAUAUUAGGGAAGGGAAAGCUCCUAACAAUGCUUCCUCACAUCCAGCAACUCAAGAUAUUCGCUGAUUUGGAUCCAUCUCAUAUGUUUUGAAUGUGCUCAAGGCUGCCAAUUUUUCCAAGAUUUCUUCAGCUCUCAUUGGAAGAGACUAUUUUGACAGCAUUUUUAUAUUGUUUUAGAAAAGUUAGAUUUUUUUGGUAUAUAUACUUGUUGCUGAGGAAGUUAAGUUAGAUUUUUUUGGUAUUAAUAUAUGGAAGUUUUUAUAUGUAGUGUUUGACUCAAAGCUGAACAAGUGGAGGAAACAAG